GAUCUUCCUAUGUACUAAAUAAUAUUAUUACUCUGACUAAAGAGAUUUUUUUCUUAAUUAUUUUUUUUUAAAAAAACAACGUUGACCCGGAUCAUAUAUCAUAUCGAAUUAGGUUAAAGAACCGGGUUCAGAAAAUGGCUAAGACAAUUGGUUUGAAAUAAAAUGGUUUAUUAUUUUUGAUUUUCUUUUUUGACAACUAUUGAUCUUAACACCUGAAAAUAAAUUGCAAUUAUGGCUUAUGUACUCAGCUGUGGCUCAAGAAAUUAGAAUGCCAUUGGGCAAACAAAACUUUUGGUCUUUUAUCUAGCUUAUGCUAAAGAAAUUCAAAUUUGUGUGCCCAUAAAACAUGUUUUUAAAGAUAUUUUUAUACAUAAAUUGGUAUUUUCAAAUUUGAAAAGAAAAAAAAAAUGAAAAAUAGACCUAAUGUUGUUUUUGGUCACCUAUUCUCUUAUUUACAAUAAAAAUGGGCCCUAUAAUCUUAGGGGGGGUUAUUGAUUCAACCUCCCAAUAACCCCCCCCCCCCC
rnacentral:lncRNA from 1 species